rnacentral:rRNA from 1 species
UAUGGAGAGUUUGAUCCUGGCUCAGAGUGAACGCUGGCGGCGUGCCUAAUACAUGCAAGUCGAACGAUGAAGCUUUCUAGCUUGCUAGAAUGCUGAUUAGUGGCGCACGGGUGAGUAACGCAUAGGUUAUGUGCCUCUUAGUUUGGGAUAGCCAUUGGAAACGAUGAUUAAUACCAGAUACUCCCUACGGGGGAAAGAUUUAUCGCUAAGAGAUCAGCCUAUGUCCUAUCAGCUUGUUGGUAAGGUAAUGGCUUACCAAGGCUAUGACGGGUAUCCGGCCUGAGAGGGUGAACGGACACACUGGAACUGAGACACGGUCCAGACUCCUACGGGAGGCAGCAGUAGGGAAUAUUGCUCAAUGGGGGAAACCCUGAAGCAGCAACGCCGCGUGGAGGAUGAAGGUUUUAGGAUUGUAAACUCCUUUUGUUAGAGAAGAUAAUGACGGUAUCUAACGAAUAAGCACCGGCUAACUCCGUGCCAGCAGCCGCGGUAAUACGGAGGGUGCAAGCGUUACUCGGAAUCACUGGGCGUAAAGAGCGCGUAGGCGGGAUAGUCAGUCAGGUGUGAAAUCCUAUGGCUUAACCAUAGAACUGCAUUUGAAACUACUAUUCUAGAGUGUGGGAGAGGUAGGUGGAAUUCUUGGUGUAGGGGUAAAAUCCGUAGAGAUCAAGAGGAAUACUCAUUGCGAAGGCGACCUGCUGGAACAUUACUGACGCUGAUUGCGCGAAAGCGUGGGGAGCAAACAGGAUUAGAUACCCUGGUAGUCCACGCCCUAAACGAUGGAUGCUAGUUGUUGGAGGGCUUAGUCUCUCCAGUAAUGCAGCUAACGCAUUAAGCAUCCCGCCUGGGGAGUACGGUCGCAAGAUUAAAACUCAAAGGAAUAGACGGGGACCCGCACAAGCGGUGGAGCAUGUGGUUUAAUUCGAAGAUACACGAAGAACCUUACCUAGGCUUGACAUUGAGAGAAUCCGCUAGAAAUAGUGGAGUGUCUGGCUUGCCAGACCUUGAAAACAGGUGCUGCACGGCUGUCGUCAGCUCGUGUCGUGAGAUGUUGGGUUAAGUCCCGCAACGAGCGCAACCCCCUUUCUUAGUUGCUAACAGGUUAUGCUGAGAACUCUAAGGAUACUGCCUCCGUAAGGAGGAGGAAGGUGGGGACGACGUCAAGUCAUCAUGGCCCUUACGCCUAGGGCUACACACGUGCUACAAUGGGGUGCACAAAGAGAAGCAAUACUGCGAAGUGGAGCCAAUCUUCAAAACACCUCUCAGUUCGGAUUGUAGGCUGCAACUCGCCUGCAUGAAGCUGGAAUCGCUAGUAAUCGCAAAUCAGCCAUGUUGCGGUGAAUACGUUCCCGGGUCUUGUACUCACCGCCCGUCACACCAUGGGAGUUGUGUUUGCCUUAAGUCAGGAUGCUAAAUUGGCUACUGCCCACGGCACACACAGCGACUGGGGUGAAGUCGUAACAAGGUAACCGUAGGUGAACCUGCGGUUGGAUCACCUCCUU